rnacentral:sRNA from 1 species
CCCUUCUCCUUUGGGGAGUAGCCGCUCUCGCCUAGCAGAGAGGGGCGCGUCAACAGACUUGGCCUUUUGGGGCCGUGGCGCGUCCGGCCAUCGGGUUUGGCAAGACCAUGGGUUGCGGG